AACGAACGCUGGCGGCAGGCUUAACACAUGCAAGUCGAACGCCCCGCAAGGGGAGUGGCAGACGGGUGAGUAACGCGUGGGAAUCUACCCAGAUCUACGGAACAACAGUUGGAAACGACUGCUAAUACCGUAUACGCCCUACGGGGGAAAGAUUUAUCGGAUUUGGAUGAGCCCGCGUUGGAUUAGCUAGUUGGUGGGGUAAUGGCCUACCAAGGCGACGAUCCAUAGCUGGUCUGAGAGGAUGAUCAGCCACACUGGGACUGAGACACGGCCCAGACUCCUACGGGAGGCAGCAGUGGGGAAUAUUGGACAAUGGGCGCAAGCCUGAUCCAGCCAUGCCGCGUGAGUGAUGAAGGCCUUAGGGUUGUAAAGCUCUUUCACCGAUGAAGAUAAUGACGGUAGUCGGAGAAGAAGCCCCGGCUAACUUCGUGCCAGCCGCCGCCGUAA
rnacentral:rRNA from 1 species